CCUACGGGGGGCAGCAGUGAGGAAUAUUGGUCAAUGGCCGGAAGUCUGAACCAGCCAAGCCGCGUGAAGGACGAAGGUGCCAAGCAUUGUAAACUUCUUUUGUCAAGGGACAAAAUCAGGCUCGAGAGCCUGACCGAGGGUACUUGAAGAAAAAGCAUCGGCUAACUCCGUGCCAGCAGCCGCGGUAAUACGGAGGAUGCGAGCGUUAUCCGGAUUUAUUGGGUUUAAAGGGUGCGUAGGCGGGCUGUUAAGUCAGCGGUAAAAGUCCGGGGCUCAACCCCGGCGAGCCGUUGAAACUGGCUGUCUUGAGAAGUCGAGAGGUAGGCGGAAUGCGUGGUGUAGCGGUGAAAUGCUUAGAUAUUGCGCAGAACUCCGAUUGCGAAGGCAGCAUACCGGCGUGGAUCUGACGCUGAGGCACGAAAGCGUGGGUAUCGAACAGGAUUAGAUACCCGUGUAGUC
rnacentral:rRNA from 1 species